rnacentral:lncRNA from 7 species
GAAAGGCCUUUGCGCAAUGACAGUGUACUGCACAAAGAUUCCAGAUUGUAAACGAAGUUGUGCAUAUACUAGCACAGUUUUGACACAGUAGAGAUCUCCAGCACAGAGAGGUCGUGAGUCCCAUCAGCACUGUAUCUAGGUACACCAGGCAACUGCAUCUGCUCAGCACUGAGAUGUCCAGAGGCAGAACCUGACAAUGCACCACUCUACAGGAACUCGCUAUACAGCAGUCCAUGAGAGAAAUUAGAUGAGGAGUGAUCUCUGGAAGCACAACCCAGUCAUCCAGCAUAUGCACACCUGUUUGUCAAUAGGCAGCACAGCAGGGAUCAAACAGCAAGAGGAAACACUUGUGCUCUCAGACCUCCUUCCAGUGCACUAAUGAUGAGAUUCACGAAAGCAAUGUGUCAGCAAAUAGGAUCAGCACCAAAGAACACGCUUGGAGAUCGCAGGAUUGCCUGUAUUGCUAUACUGUUUUCAAGAGAGCUGAACACCGUAACUGAAGCUCAAUGUUGAAAACUAUAGGAGAAAAAUGAUCCUAUGAGACUGGUGUAUAGUAUUGGAUCAUACGCUACAAAGACAUACUUAAUGGGCAUAGCUACCUCUUAUCUGCUGCUACCCAUCAUAACAGUCAUCUUGAAUGCUGCUUUUAUGUUCAUGUGCAAUAACGUAUAAGGUUUCCUAGAUAGAAACAUGUUGAGUCAGCUAAGAAACCUCGAAAAUGGGUACUUAAUACAUUCUGGGAGAUGGAACACUGAAGUUUUCAAACUGAACUUCAACUGUUUAACGAGGUACCACUGCAGCAUUGAGAGAAUAGAAAGGGAACAUCACUACUUGGUAUUUUGCCAUUAUGCCUUACAAGGUUCCUGUGCAUGUCUGUAGAAAACAGAUUUGAGAGUCUGGUAGGAACCAACUUCAGAAACCCUUGGUUGAGUAAAACUGCAACUGACACAAAUAAAUACAAAAUGAAGAUCUACACCACAUUUUGCUUGAAAAAGCAGUACUUCAAGAAUCACUAGCAACGGGAUUUCAAAUUGCAUCAGCCAUGUACCUCAUCUAUUACUAUGCAAAGUAGAAUAAAGCAAUACAACUCAGCAGCUUAGCAUAACACUGGCCCCAAAAAGAAAGCAGGAAAUGAAUAGGAAUACAAUUUCCUUAACAAUUCACUUACAGGAAUUAUUUUGUAAGAUCUUGCUGUGUCCUGGUCGAAGAUGCAGUCCAAGCAUACAGGAAGGACUGGGUCAUCCUACCAUGUCCCUUUACUGCUCAUCUCCUGACUCAGGUAUUGCUCCCCCUUUCUCCCAUUUGCUCAGACUCUGCCACAUAUCCAUCCUGGGUAGCAGGGAGUUAGAGCACUGUUCUCAACUGAUCACAGCUGACAUUGCUUAUGGAAGACAUUCACAGGUGCCGAUGUGUACCUCACGUACUAUGUUGUACCACACUAUUUCACCCCCUCCCCGCACAGCUUGUUCCAAGUGAGCUCAGGAAUCAGUGGCCAAAAUAACCUUCAGUUGCAGAUCAUUACCAAUUGGCAGCUGUUCGAGUAAGGCCUCAGGUAUGUCCAGUUCUUAUUUUGUAGGCUGGAUCCACCAAGAACUCAGAUUACAUUACUCACAUAAAUGCACAAAAUACUUUCAAGGAUAUUUAUGGGUUUCUUUAAUGCUGGGGCACAGAAAAGUACUUGCUGGUAUACUUAUGUUUUGCAGCCCUCAAAUCGCAUUUCUUGUGUCAUCUGAAAUCUGGGGAGAAAACUCUCCAACUUCAAUGUGGUGUUAGAAAGCAGCAUUCAUUUAUUUCUAGUUAUACAUACUGGAUUACUUGACAAUCAAGUGCAUUCUCUCAAGUUCUACAUUUAGAAAGUUAGGAUACAUUGGCAUGUAUAUUCAUUCUUUUCCAGGAUCUCAUUAAUAUAGGCUAAUGUCCCUCUGGGUAGUGGUAGUGGUCUCUGGUGGUUGCAGACCACUCAGUUUCUCCUCGUUCUUCCAUCAUCAGCUUCAUCACAGUGACUUUUGGCUGACCUUUAGCUGCUUUUCCCUAGUUUGGCAAAUUCAUACUGCGUGUUAUGCCAGAAUGAGCAACUUUCUAUCUUAGUGUAUUAUAACCCAAAAUAACAUAUGUGAAAUCCAAGAAAAAAGUCCCUGCACAUGGUGGAUGCAAAGAUGAAAGUAGUCUGUUGUGACUCCAGUGCUCCUGUGAACCAGGAUCACUGCAAAAAACAAAGCUGUCCCCACACACCAAGCAAGGCGAAAUGGAAAAGUUUUAAAGCUAGCACUCAUCAAUCCCUUUUGCUAAACUAAUAUAUUGGUCCUUAAACUAAUAUACUGAUCCCUAUUGCUAAACCAGCCUAUACCACUUGGAAGAAGAUGAGCAAAGCUCAGUCUUAACGCUGGCAGUGUUGGCCUGCAGAUCCUCCUAGCUUUGGCUUCACUUUGUAUGUAGUUUCACCUCCACAAACAUUUU